AUGCUCCGGCUACGUGGCUGCGUCCUCACCCAGCUCCUCUCUUCUCCAGCCACCUCUCCCGUACCCCAUCUCCGCCGCCUCCUCUCCGCCGCAGCGCCCGCCAUCUCCCCAAGCAUCGGGUUCGCGGUGGAGGAGUACCUCGUCGCCACCUGCGGCCUCACCCGACCACAGGCCCUCAAGGCCUCCGCCAAGCUCUCCCACCUCAAGUCACCCGCCAAGCCCGACGCCGUGCUCGCCUUCCUCGCCGGCCUCGGCCUCUCCGCCGCCGACGUCGCCUCCGUCGUCGCCAAGGACCCGCAGUUCCUCUGCGCCAGCGUGGAGAAGACCCUGGCCCCCGUCGUCGACGGGCUCACCGGCCUCGGCCUCUCGCGUCCUGAGAUCGCGCACCUCGUCUCGGUCGCCGGCGAGAAGUUCCGCUGCAGAGCCAUCAUCGACAGGCUGCGCUACUACCUGGCCCUCUUCGGCUCCUCCGGGAAGCUCCUCCGGGUGCUCGACCGCAGCCCCUACAUCCUCUCCUCCAACCUCGAGAGGGUGGUCAAGCCCAACGCCGCGUUCCUGAGGGAGUGCACGAUAGGUGCUUGUGAUAUUGCCAAGCUGUGUGUCGCGCAGCCGAGGAUGCUCACCUCCAAUGUGGAGCGCGUCCGGGCGAUGGCGGCGCGCGCCGAAGGCCUAGGCGUGCCCCGCGGCUCCAGGAUGUUCUGGCGCAUGCUGAAUGCCCUUGCGUUUCUCCGCGAGAAGGAUGUCGCCGCCAAAGUGGACUACUUGAAGGACACUUUCAGAUGGUCCGAUGCUGAGGUGGGCAUUGCUCUUUGUAAGGCCCCGAUGGUGCUGGCGCUGUCCAAGGGCCUGCUGCAGAGGAAGUCGGAGUUCCUGAUCUCUGAGGUGGGGUUGGAACCGGCAUACAUUGCUUAUCGGCCGACAUUGCCCACUUACAGCCUGGAGGGCCGGCUAAGGCCCCGGUACUACACUUUGAAGUUUCUCAAGGAAAAUGGAUUGCUAGAUCAUGACCGAGACUACUAUUGUGCAGUCAUGCUGCCAGAGGAGGUAUUCAUGGAGAAGUUCAUAUGUCCUCACAAGGAAGCUGCACCACAGCUCGCUGAAGACUAUGCAGCAGCUUGCAAAGGGGAAGUGCCGGCUAGAUUCAGAUUUACAUGA
rnacentral:rRNA from 1 species